AACUAACGCUGGCGGCGUGCCUAACACAUGCAAGUCGUACGAGAAAGCCGGCUUCGGCUGGUGAGUAAAGUGGCGCACGGGUGAGUAACGCGUGGAUAAUCUGCCCUUAAGUGUGGAAUAACGUACCGAAAGGUGCGCUAAUACCGCAUAAUGCCUGGCAACACAAGUUGUCCGGCCAAAGAAGGCCUCUGUUUACAAGCUUUCGCUUCAGGAUGAGUCCGCGUACCAUUAGCUUGUUGGUGGGGUAAUGGCCUACCAAGGCUGCGAUGGUUAGCUGGUCUGAGAGGAUGAUCAGCCACACUGGAACUGAGACACGGUCCAGACUCCUACGGGAGGCAGCAGUGAGGAAUAUUGCGCAAUGGGGGCAACCCUGACGCAGCAACGCCGCGUGAGUGAGGAAGGUUUUCGGAUUGUAAACUUCUUUGAUGAGGGACGAUAAUGACGGUACCUCAAAAACAAGCCACGGCUAACUACGUGCCAGCAGCCGCGGUAA
rnacentral:rRNA from 1 species